rnacentral:rRNA from 1 species
ACGAACGCUGGCGGCGUGCUUAACACAUGCCAGUCGAACGGAAAGGCCCUGCUUUUGUGGGGUGCUCGAGUGGCGAACGGGUGAGUAACACGUGAGUAACCUGCCCUUGACUUUUGGAUAACUUCAUGAAACUGGGGCUAAUACCGGAUAGGAGCUCCUGCUGCAUGGUGGGGGUUGGAAAGUUUCGGCGGUUGGGGAUGGACUCGCGGCUUAUCAGCUUGUUGGUGGGGUAGUGGCUUACCAAGGCUUUGACGGGUAGCCGGCCUGAGAGGGUGACCGGCCACAUUGGGACUGAGAUACGGCCCAGACUCCUACGGGAGGCAGCAGUGGGGAAUAUUGCACAAUGGGCGGAAGCCUGAUGCAGCAACGCCGCGUGCGGGAUGACGGCCUUCGGGUUGUAAACCGCUUUCGCCUGUGACGAAGCGUGAGUGACGGUAAUGGGUAAAGAAGCACCGGCUAACUACGUG